rnacentral:rRNA from 1 species
AACUGUGGAAAAUCCAGAGCUAAUACGUGCAACUGAGCUCCGACCUCGGCGCGAGUCGUGGGAAGAGCGCAUUUAUUAGAUUCAAAACUGAUCGGUGUACUCCUUCGGGAUAGGCCGUUUUUCAAAAGUUUGAUGACUCCGGAUAACUUAGCCGAGCGCUACGGUCUUUAGUACCGGCGCCGUAUCUUUCAAGUGUCUGCCUUAUCAGCUUUCGAUUGUAGGUUAAACGCCUACAAUGGCUGUAACGGGUAACGGGGAAUCAGGGUUCGAUUCCGGAGAGGGAGCCUGAGAAACGGCUACCACAUCUAAGGAAGGCAGCAGGCACGCAAAUUACCCACUCCCAGCCCGGGGAGGUAGUGACGAAAAAUAACGAUGCGAGACUCUUCCGAGGCCUCGCAAUCGGAAUGAGUCCAUUUUAAAUCCUUGGACGAGGAUCCAUUGGAGGGCAAGUCUGGUGCCAGCAGCCGCGGUAAUUCCAGCUCCAAUAGCGUAUAUUAAAGUUGCUGCGGUUAAAAAGCUCGUAGUUGGACUUUCUAGAUCCAUUUCGUGGGUGAGUCGCUCUUWGUACUAACGUCUCGCUUNGUUCCUCGAUGACGUCGUCGCGGCUUUCUCUYUUCGGAGGGAUUCCCGGCGUUGCGGAAUCUUGCGGACGGUGAGGCGUUGUCUUAGAGUAUAGCUCGUCCGCGUUUGGUACAAUUAAAAAAUUGUCGGCUCGCUCGGAGUGCUCUUUACCGAGUGUUCCAGGGUGGCUGACACGUUCACUUUGAAAAAAUUAGAGUGCUUAAAGCGGGCUUAUUUACGGCCUGAAUGUCUGUGCAUGGAAUGAAGUAACAGGACCUCGAUUCUGUUGUUUUUGUCGGUUUUAAUGAACCGAGGUAAUGAUUAAAAGGGACAGACGGUGGCAUUAGUAUUGCGACGCUAGAGGUGAAAUUCUUGGACCGUCGCAAGACUAACUACUGCGAAAGCAUUUGCCGAGAAUGUUUUCAUUAAUCAAGAACGAAAGUUAGAGGAUCGAAGG